rnacentral:rRNA from 1 species
CACGGGGGGAGCAAGCGUUGUUCGGAAUCACUGGGCGUAAAGGGUGUCUAGGCGGUCAGGUAAGUGAGAUGUGAAAUGCCCCGGCUUACCCGGGGACCUGCAUCUCAUACUGCCUGGCUUGAGUAUGGGAGAGGAUGAGGGAAUUCCUGGUGUAGCGGUGAAAUGCGUAGAUAUCAGGAGGAACACCGGUGGCGAAGGCGGUUCUCUGGGCAUGUCCUGACGCUGAGGAGCGAAAGUGUGGGGAGCGAACAGG